rnacentral:rRNA from 1 species
ACGAACGCUGGCGGCGUGCUUAACACAUGCAAGUCGCACGGAAAGGCCCUGCUUUUGUGGGGUGCUCGAGUGGCGAACGGGUGAGUAACACGUGAGUAACCUGCCCUUGACUUUGGGAUAACUUCAGGAAACUGGGGCUAAUACCGGAUAGGAGCUCCUGCUGCAUGGUGGGGGUUGGAAAGUUUCGGCGGUUGGGGAUGGACUCGCGGCUUAUCAGCUUGUUGGUGGGGUAGUGGCUUACCAAGGCUUUGACGGGUAGCCGGCCUGAGAGGUUGACCGGCCACAUUGGGACUGAGAUACGGCCCAGACUCCUACGGGAGGCAGCAGUGGGGAAUAUUGCACAAUGGGCGGAAGCCUGAUGCAGCAACGCCGCGUGCGGGAUGACGGCCUUCGGGUUGUAAACCGCUUUCGCCUGUGACGAAGCGUGAGUGGCGGUAAUGGGUAAAGAAGCACCGGCUAACUACGUG